UACGUAGGGACCGAGCGUUAUCCGGAUUUAUUGGGCGUAAAGCGCGCGUAGGCGGCCACACACGUCGGCUGUGAAAGCUCGGAGCUCAACUCUGAGAGGCCUUCCGAUACGGUGUGGCUAGAGGUAGGUAGGGGAGAGCGGAAUUCCCGGUGUAGCGGUGGAAUGCGCAGAUAUCGGGAAGAACACCCAUGGCGAAGGCAGCUCUCUGGGACGGUACUGACGCUGAGACGCGAAAGCGUGGGGAGCGAACAGGAUUAGAUA
rnacentral:rRNA from 1 species